GAAUACCGGAGAAUGUUAUCACGGGAGACACACGGCGGGUGCUAACGUCCGUCGUGAAGAGGGAAACAACCCAGACCGCCAGCUAAGGUCCCAAAGUCAUGGUUAAGUGGGAAACGAUGUGGGAAGGCCCAGACAGCCAGGAUGUUGGCUUAGAAGCAGCCAUCAUUUAAAGAAAGCGUAAUAGCUCACUGGUCGAGUCGGCCUGCGCGGAAGAUGUAACGGGGCUAAACCAUGCACCGAAGCUGCGGCAGCGACACUGUGUGUUGUUGGGUAGGGGAGCGUUCUGUAAGCCUGUGAAGGUGUGUCGUGAGGCAUGCUGGAGGUAUCAGAAGUGCGAAUGCUGACAUAAGUAACGAUAAAGCGGGUGAAAAGCCCGCUCGCCGGAAGACCAAGGGUUCCUGUCCAACGUUAAUCGGGGCAGGGUGAGUCGACCCCUAAGGCGAGGCCGAAAGGCGUAGUCGAUGGGAAACGGGUUAAUAUUCCCGUACUUGGUGUUACUGCGAAGGGGGGACGGAGAAGGCUAUGUUGGCCGGGCGACGGUUGUCCCGGUUUAAGCGUGUAGGUGUGUGUUCCAGGUAAAUCCGGUUCACUUUAACACUGAGGCGUGACGACGAGGCACUACGGUGCUGAAGCAACAAAUGCCCUGCUUCCAGGAAAAGCCUCUAAGCAUCAGGUAACAUCAAAUCGUACCCCAAACCGACACAGGUGGUCAGGUAGAGAAUACCAAGGCGCUUGAGAGAACUCGGGUGAAGGAACUAGGCAAAAUGGUGCCGUAACUUCGGGAGAAGGCACGCUGACACGUAGGUGAAGUGAUUUACUCAUGGAGCUGAAGUCAGUCGAAGAUACCAGCUGGCUGCAACUGUUUAUUAAAAACACAGCACUGUGCAAACACGAAAGUGGACGUAUACGGUGUGACGCCUGCCCGGUGCCGGAAGGUUAAUUGAUGGGGUCAGCGCAAGCGAAGCUCCUGAUCGAAGCCCCGGUAAACGGCGGCCGUAACUAUAACGGUCCUAAGGUAGCGAAAUUCCUUGUCGGGUAAGUUCCGACCUGCACGAAUGGCGUAAUGAUGGCCAGGCUGUCUCCACCCGAGACUCAGUGAAAUUGAACUCGCUGUGAAGAUGCAGUGUACCCGCGGCAAGACGGAAAGACCCCGUGAACCUUUACUAUAGCUUGACACUGAACAUUGAGCCUUGAUGUGUAGGAUAGGUGGGAGGCUUUGAAGUGUGGACGCCAGUCUGCAUGGAGCCGACCUUGAAAUACCACCCUUUAAUGUUUGAUGUUCUAACGUGGACCCGUUACCCGGGUUGCGGACAGUGUCUGGUGGGUAGUUUGACUGGGGCGGUCUCCUCCUAAAGAGUAACGGAGGAGCACGAAGGUUGGCUAAUCCUGGUCGGACAUCAGGAGGUUAGUGCAAUGGCAUAAGCCAGCUUGACUGCGAGCGUGACGGCGCGAGCAGGUGCGAAAGCAGGUCAUAGUGAUCCGGUGGUUCUGAAUGGAAGGGCCAUCGCUCAACGGAUAAAAGGUACUCCGGGGAUAACAGGCUGAUACCGCCCAAGAGUUCAUAUCGACGGCGGUGUUUGGCACCUCGAUGUCGGCUCAUCACAUCCUGGGGCUGAAGUAGGUCCCAAGGGUAUGGCUGUUCGCCAUUUAAAGUGGUACGCGAGCUGGGUUUAGAACGUCGUGAGACAGUUCGGUCCCUAUCUGCCGUGGGCGCUGGAGAACUGAGGGGGGCUGCUCCUAGUACGAGAGGACCGGAGUGGACGCAUCACUGGUGUUCGGGUUGUCAUGCCAAUGGCACUGCCCGGUAGCUAAAUGCGGAAGAGAUAAGUGCUGAAAGCAUCUAAGCACGAAACUUGCCCCGAG
rnacentral:rRNA from 1 species